CCCGCUGAACUUAAGCAUAUCAAUAAGCGGAGGAAAAGAAACUAACAAGGAUUCCCCUAGUAACUGCGAGUGAAGCGGGAAAAGCUCAAAUUUAAAAUCUGGUGGUCUUUUGGCUGUCCGAGUUGUAAUCUAGAGAAGUCGCUAUCCGCGCUGGACCCUGUACCAUUCUCCUGGAAUGGAGCAUCAUAGAGGGUGAGAAUCCCGUCAUUGACAUGAACUGACAGGUCUCUGUGAUGUGCUCUCAAAGAGUCGAGUUGUUUGGGAAUGCAGCUCAAAAUGGGUGGUAAAUCCCAUCUAAAGCUAAAUAUUGGCGAGAGCCCGAUAGCGAACAAGUACCGUGAGGGAAAGAUGAAAAGAACUUUGGAAAGAGAGUUAAACAGUACGUGAAAUUGCUGAAAGGGAAACGCUUGAAGUCAGUCGCCUCAUCCAGGGAUCAACCUUGCUUUUGCUUGGUGCACUUUCUGGGUUGAUGGGUCAGCAUCAAUUUUGACCAUUGGAAAAAGGCUAAGGGAAUGUGGCAUCUUCGGAUGUGUUAUAGUCCUUGGUCACAUACAAUGGUCUGGGAUUGAGGAACUCACGCAUCCCGCAAGGCCGGGUUUUUAACCACGUUCAUGCUUAGGAUGCUGGCAAUAUGGCUUUAAUCGACCCGUCGUGAAACACGG
rnacentral:rRNA from 1 species